UGUGGUAGCCGAGUGGUCAAGGUACUGGAUCCUUGGAUGGUCUUGUCUCGAGUUCAAGCCCAGUACCACUAAA